CGUUUCCAUCUGCUUCUCGCCGCCGUUUCCUUUCUCUUUCUUUUCAGGCAGGCUGGCUUCUCAGCCAUGGUGCCUUCCAGCCGUGCAUUAGGGUUAAACCCAAAGGCUGAGCGUGGACGGGUGUCCCUGUCCACUCAGCAUUCCCAGGAAGCAGCGUCUGCUCACACUGCUGGUGGGUCCACCCAGUGUGUCAACAGCAGGCAUAACCGAAGAGCUGCUGGCCUUCUACAGCGGGGUGUCCUGGAGACAAGGGGUCUUCCUUUGCCCACCUGCUUCCUUACUGUGCGUUCGGUGAGUCUGCAUGCCCCUGAAUUAUUAGGCUGAAAAUAAAGAUGUAGCUUUAGUUCAAUAAACCUCUGAGAGAUGGGAAGAUCUAGAUGUUUAUUAUAUUACAUUCAAUAUUACAUUUAGUAUAAAUGGAAAAAUGUUGUCUAGUACAUAGAUCUUUCCCUCAUUAAAUAUUCAAUUACUAAAUGCAAGUAAAUAAUUGCC
rnacentral:lncRNA from 1 species